UACGAAGGGUGCUAGCGUUGUUCGGAAUCACUGGGCGUAAAGCGCGCGUAGGCGGCGAACCAAGUCAGGGGUGAAAGCCCACAGCUCAACUGUGGAAUUGCCUUUGAAACUGGUUUGCUAGAGUGUCGGAGGGGGAUAGCGGAAUUGCUAAUGUAGAGGUGAAAUUCGUAGAUAUUAGCAAGAACACCGGGUGGCGAAGGCGGCGACCGUGGUC
rnacentral:rRNA from 1 species